AGAGUUUGAUCCUGGCUCAGAACGAACGCUGGCGGCAGGCUUAACACAUGCAAGUUGAACGGGAUUAAUUUAGUGCUUGCACUAAAUUAUGAGAGUAGCGCACGGGUGAGUAAUACAUGGGAACCUAUCCUGAAGUGGGGGACAACAGUUGGAAACGACUGCUAAUACCGCAUACGCCCCGAGGGGGAAAGAUUUAUCGCUUUAGGCAGGGCCCAUGGCAGAUUAGGCAGUUGGUGAGGUAACGGCUCACCAAACCGACGAUCUGUAGCUGGUCUGAGAGGACGAUCAGCCACACUGGAACUGAGACACGGUCCAGACUCCUACGGGAGGCAGCAGUGAGGAAUAUUGGGCAAUGGGGGCAACCCUGACCCAGCCAUGCCGCGUGAGUGAAGAAGGUUUUCGGAUUGUAAAGCUCUUUCGGAUGUGACGAUGAUGACGGUAGCAUCUAAAGAAGCCCCGGCAAACUUCGUGCCAGCAGCCGCGGUAAUACGAAGGGGGCAAGCGUUGUUCGGAAUUACUGGGCGUAAAGGGUGUGUAGGCGGUUAUGUAAGAUAGCGGUGAAAUGCCGGGGCUCAACCUCGGAAUUGCCUUUAUGACUAUAUAACUAGAAUAAUGGAGAGGAUAUCGGAAUACCCAGUGUAGAGGUGAAAUUCGUAGAUAUUGGGUAGAACACCAGUGGCGAAGGCGGGUAUCUGGCCAUUUAUUGACGCUGAGGCACGAAAGCAUGGGGAUCAAACAGGAUUAGAUACCCUGGUAGUCCAUGCUGUAAACGAUGAAUGCUGGUUGUCGGUUUAGGAUCGGUGACGAAGUUAACGCAUUAAGCAUUCCGCCUGGGGAGUACGGUCGCAAGAUUAAAACUCAAAGGAAUUGACGGGGACCCG
rnacentral:rRNA from 1 species